rnacentral:rRNA from 1 species
UACGGAGGAUGCAAGCGUUAUCCGGAAUGAUUGGGCGUAAAGCGUCCGCAGGUGGCUGUGUAAGUCUGCUAUCAAAGAGCAAAGCUCAACUUUGUAAAGGCAGUGGAAACUACACGGCUAGAGUGCGUUCGGGGCAGAGGGAAUUCCUGGUGUAGCGGUGAAAUGCGUAGAGAUCAGGAAGAACACCGGUGGCGAAGGCGCUCUGCUAGGCCGCAACUGACACUGAGGGACGAAAGCUAGGGGAGCGAAUGGG